GACGAACGCUGGCGGCGUGCCUAAUACAUGCAAGUAGAACGCACAGUUUAUACCGUAGCUUGCUACACCAUAGACUGUGAGUUGCGAACGGGUGAGUAACGCGUAGGUAACCUGCCUGGUAGCGGGGGAUAACUAUUGGAAACGAUAGCUAAUACCGCAUAAUAUUAAUUAUUGCAUGAUAAUUAAUUGAAAGGUGCAAUUGCACCACUACCAGAUGGACCUGCGUUGUAUUAGCUAGUAGGUGAGGUAACGGCUCACCUAGGCGACGAUACAUAGCCGACCUGGGAGGGUGAUCGGCCACACUGGGACUGAGACACGGCCCAGACUCCUACGGGAGGCAGCAGUAGGGAAUCUUCGGCAAUGGACGAAAGUCUGACCGAGCAACGCCGCGUGGGUGAAGAAGGUUUUCGGAUCGUAAAGCUCUGUUGUAAGAGAAGAACGGGUGUGAGAGUGGAAAGUUCACACUGUGACGGUAUCUUACCAGAAAGGGACGGCUAACUACGUG
rnacentral:rRNA from 1 species